rnacentral:tRNA from 1 species
UAGCUCAGUUGGUAGAGGAUGGUGUUUGCAACGCCAGGGUUGUGGGUUCGAUUCCCAC